rnacentral:rRNA from 1 species
UGCCAGCCGCCGCGGUAAUACGUAGGGUGCAAGCGUUAAUCAGAAUUACUGGGCGUAAAGCGCGCGUAGGCGGAAUGUUAAGUCUCAUGUGAAAGCCCAGGGCUCAACCGUGGAAGUGCAUUUGAAACUGGAUGGCUUGAGUACUGGAGGGGGUGGUGGAAUUCCCGGUGUAGAGGUGAAAUUCGUAGAUAUCGGGAGGAAUACCGGUGGCGAAGGCGACUACCUGGACCGAUAUUGACACUGAGGUGCGAAGGCGUGGGGAGCAAACAGGAUUAGAUA